ACAGUUGGAAGCCAAAAGGGAAGUGGCAGCCUUGUUCUUUCCCCGCUCUGAAGGUGGGAGGAGGAUCACCAGGGCAUCUGAGGCAUGCCGCUAGUCUGCUGGCUCAUGUUGUGGGCCUGCAGAAGCAGCCAGAUGAUCCACUCCUUCAGCUCUCAGACCCAGGCAGCACAUGUUUAGGUCCUUGAGCCAAAGGGGCCAGACUUGGAGACAACACAAGGCAGAAGAUGGCUCCAGUCUGUCCUCACUUCCCUGCUCUGCAUCUGCCUUGCCACCCUGACCCGCUGCCCUGCAGAAUUCAGACUCCAACACCAGAUAAAUCAGCUCAGCACAGAAGAGAUGAGCGUGUGUACUACUUUCCAAAAGAGGAAGUGGAUUCAGAAAACUACUUAUUUUGAUGGGUCAGUGAGAAAACAACAAAAACAACAACUCUGUAAACUACUUAGAGGUUUAUUCUGAGUGAAUAUGAGUGACCAUGGCAUGGAGAACAGUAUCAACAGGUUCUGAGAAAGUAUGCCUGAAGUGGUCAGGUUACAGUUUGGUUUUUAUGUUUUAGGGAUACAGGAACUGUAAGUAAAAUCAUAAAUAAGUGCAUUAAAAAUGUACAUUGGUUCAGCCUAAAGAGCCUGGAUGUUUUGAAGGUGAAGUGAGGCUGACAGGUUGUAAGUGGAUUCAAAGAUUUUCUGAUUGUCACUUGGUUAAGAGUUAAGCUUUGUAAAGCCUUGAAGUCAGUAAAAAAGAAUGCUUGAGUUCUAAGGGUAGCUGUGGAGACCAAGGUUCUUGUUACGUAGGUGAAGCCUCCGGGUAACUGCUUUCAGAGAGAAUAGGUGGUAAAUGUCUCCUUUUGGACCCUUAAAGGGGUCAGAGUCUUAAUCUCCUCUAGACCUGGGAAAGGCUGAACCGUAUUAAGCGAGAUUCUCUGCAGUUCUCUGCAGUUCCCCCCAAAAGAUGGCUUCACAGUGCCAUUUCAAAAUAUGUCAAAGAAAUAUAUUUGGUAGUAAAAUAUUUUUAUUUCCUUCAGUCUGCCAUGUGAUGCUACACCAGAGUCAGGCUGGAAUUUGGAAUUUUAUUGCCACGAAGAGUCUGUUGUGUCAGUCUUAUGAUGUCUGUUUUAAUGUUAAUGCUGGUCAGUGCUGCCUGAACUCCUAAAGGGAGGGAGUACGAUGAGGUGUGUCCAACCUCCUUUUCCAUCAUGGCCAGGAAUUUGGUUUUCAGACUUCUCUGGGAUCCCCUUGGCCCAUAGGGGGAUUCAUAAUUGGUUAGGGGGCUUAGGAUUUUAUUUUUGUUUUACAGAUUUUAGUCCCCCCAAAUUCUCAAAUAGAAUUUAAACCUAUGGAUUAUGAACAAUCAAAGGAAAAAAUGAACAUGGUGAUAACUAGACACAAACAUGGAUUUAUUACAGAUAAAUUUUGUCUAACUCAUUUGAUUUGGGGUAAGAGUGUUAAGUUAGUAUAUCAGAAGAAUUAGAUAGUUAUUACUAUAACCAUAAUACUCACAAGGAAUUUAACAAAAAUUUUCUCACAUUCUUCUUAAAUAUAGACUAGAUUCUAGUUAAGUAAAAUGUACAGCAUGGGCUGGGCAUGGUGGCUCAUGCCUGUAAUCCCAGCACUUUGGGAAGCCAAGGCAGGUGGAUCACAAGGUCAGGAGUUCAAGACCAGCCUGGCCAACAUGGUGAAACCCCAUCUCUACUAAAAAUACAAAAAUUAGCCGGGCGUGGUGGCACACGCCUGUAGUCCCAGCUAUUGAGGAGGCUGAGGCAGGAGAAUUGCUUGAACCUGGGAGGCAGAGGUGGCAGUGAGCCAAGAUCACACCACUGCACUCCAGUCUGGGUGACAGAAUCUCAAUGUUUUCAAGUCUUCCUAAAAGGAAGGGGUCCCAUUAAAACCACCUUUGCAAAAAUUAUAACAGUGAGAAAAUUAUGGCAGUCGGGGAGAUCUGACCUAGCCAACCCCAUCUUGCCUUUUGCCUUCAAGCUGCCCUUAGUUAUUCCUGGGCUUAGACCAAACUAACUUUGGGGGACAUUUAGUUUACAGUUUAAAUGAUAAUAGCCCUUCCCCCAAAUUCAACUGCCUUUGUAAAGCUAAUGAGAGACCACCAGUGUAGGAGGAUAGAGGAGCCUGAAUUCUGCUAAGGUGUAGACAUGAAUGAAUGCCAGCCAUUAUUCUGGAGGUCACAGGCUAUGCAACUUCCCAUAUUACUCCUGCAGAUAACAUCACUAUUGUAGAACCUAAGAUUGGCCCUUUAAGAUAUCUUUUCAGGUUUUUUGCAGGUCUGACAAUCGUUGGCUCCACCUGGACCCACUAACCACUCCUGUGGCCCCACCAGAAUGACUGAGUGCAUAGGAGGACCAUUUCCCACACCCCUGUGAUUGCACCCCCAAACAAUCAGAGCAAGCACCCAUUGCCUAGCCAUCCCCACCCCUUAGCCCAAACUACCUUUGAAAAAUCCUGGCCCCUAAAUUUUCAGAGAGAUUGAUUUGAGUAAUAACUCUGUCUCCCAUGUGGUGUGGCCAGCUUCAUAUCUAUUAAACACUUUCUUUAUUGCAA